CUGCUGCCUCCCGUAGGAGUUUGGACCGUGUCUCAGUUCCAAUGUGGGGGACCUUCCUCUCAGAACCCCUACGCAUCGUCGGCUUGGUGGGCCGUUGCCCCACCAACUACCUAAUGCGCCGCAUGCCCAUCCGUGACCGGAGUCGCCUCCUUUGGCCGGAAAGGGAUGUCCCUUCCCGGCGUCAUGCUGUAUUAGGCGGGAUUUCUCCCGGUUAUCCAUCUGUCACGGCCAGGUUGCAUACGUGUUACUCACCCGUGCGCCGGUCGCCGG
rnacentral:rRNA from 1 species